rnacentral:lncRNA from 1 species
UUUUGGCUUUCUAAGAACUAUUUUUCAGUAGAUGAAGAAAUUCAGACUCAGAAGAGAAAUGGCUACCCCAGAUCCGGGACAAAGAAAGUAUGAAGUAAGCUUCUGACAUCUUGUGACAGAAAACAAAGGCUCAAAGAAUGACACGGAUUGGCUCAAAUAACCCAGGAGACGGUUGGAAGGGAUCUGCCCAGUAACUCUGCAAGACAGGUGACUUCAUCUCUGGCUGACAGAGGAGGUUAUUCAAAGAGGAAGAGGUCAGACAGAUGACCACGAUCAAGCCCAGAGAACAGCAGAACCCCGUCUCUCGGGUGCCAUAGACCUGGCCCAUCCUGUCCUCAAGGGGCUGGAUUAGCAGAGAGAAGGCACAGAUAGGGUCUCACUCUGUCUCCCAGGCGGGUCUUGAACUCCUAGGCUCAAGCAAUCCUACUGCCUCAGCCUCCCGAAGUGCUGGGAUUGCAGGUAUGAGCCACCAUGCCUGGCCCCAGAAAUAUUCUGAACGGCUUUGACAAGGUGUUGAAGAGCUUUCCCUACUAGAUUCAGCAUGCUGAAACAGGGAGCUGCACCGGGACUGUGGACACAUUGCCUGGAUUCCAGACCUAGCUCCCCCAGGACAAAACUGCAUGACUUCGGGCAAGUACCCUCAUCUAUAACA